rnacentral:rRNA from 1 species
UACAGAGGCCCCAAGCGUUGUUCGGAUUCACUGGGCGUAAAGGGUGCGUAGGUGGUGGGGUAAGUCGGAUGUGAAAUCUCCGAGCUCAACUCGGAAAUGGCAUUGGAAACUACCCUGCUAGGGGGUCGGAGGGGGGACUGGAAUACUUGGUGUAGCAGUGAAAUGCGUAGAUAUCAAGUGGAACACCAGUGGCGAAGGCGAGUCCCUGGACGACUCCUGACACUGAGGCACGAAAGCUAGGGGAGCAAACAGG